UAAGGUUUCUCUGUUCUGCAGUUCUCCAUAGUGAAGCUCUUUAGAGGGAACAAUGUAUGUUCAAGAACCAGACAGGAACCAUCACACUCGUGCCGCUCCCAGUAGCCAGGUGUGCAAUCAGGGUGGUGGAGGUGACCCAGCCAUAUCUUCUGACCCAGGUCUGGGCUCUUCGUGUCGAUUAACUCCACUGCAUUCUCUGUGGAGUCUUUUAGUCAUUUCAGGAUCAGUUCAAGACACCUACAAGAAAGCUUAAUGAAAAAGAGAACAAGACAUGUGGACAGCUAGAGAGGUUCAGGCUGUACUGUGCCAUGUGUGGCGACAACAAUGACAAUGAAGAAAGCUCCCAGUCUUCCAACUCCCAAGUGGCUACUGUUUUCAGCUGGGGCUGAGAGACGUCAUGCAUCAUCAUCUGUGAACCUCCAGGCUCUUCACAUGUGUAAACCCAAUCUAUGUGUGACGCUUUAGACGCCUUCAGCAAUGCUCUGCAUGCUGUUCCCCCUAAUUGUUCCUUUGUCUGUGUUUACAAAAUGUUUGUUUGCUUGGUCGUCUUUGGCUUUGUUGUUCAAAGCUUUCUAUAGAUAAUGGAUUUGUGUGUUUGAUGUGAGCCCCCCAAGCUGAACAGAUUCCUAAUUUAUUUCGUUCUGGCUUUCAUUAAUAGACCGUGGAUUUGGUUUCUGCAAAAGCAUCAGAACAGUCCAAUAGGAUUUGAUGCACACAUCAAGCACUACUAAAUACAAGCAGAGCGAAAAAAGAAAAGCAUUACACUGUCUAAAUAUGCUUUCAUUUUUCCAAGUCAGUUUUGUACUAUUAAUUUAUAGCCUGCCCUACACAGUUUUCCUAGGUAAGAUGAAAACUAUUUUUAACAGGUCUCCGUAGGCCUGUAUUCAUGUUUUUGUCAUUUUGUUUUACAAUUUAAUAAGGAAACCUUACAAACAUAUAUCAAUAGUUUCCUUAACACUACAACAACAAGAACAUUAAAUAUCUGCUUUCUUUAUUAACCAGACUUAAGUCCUGUUUUUUGAUGGAAAUUA